rnacentral:rRNA from 1 species
AGGUCCAGCCUGCCCAGUGACCACAAGUUUAACGGCCGCGGUAUCCUGACCGUGCAAAGGUAGCGCAAUCACUUGUCUUUUAAAUAAAGACCUGUAUGAAUGGCCAAACGAGGGCUUAACUGUCUCCCCUUUCAAGUCAGUGAAAUUGAUCUACCCGUGCAGAAGCGGGUGUAAUAACACAAGACGAGAAGACCCUUUGGAGCUUAAGGUACAAAACUCAACCCACGUCAAACAACUUAAUAAAAAACAAAAACUUUGUGAGAUAUGAUAUUUUACCUUCGGUUGGGGCGACCACGGAGGAGAAAAAAGCCUCCGAGUGGACUGGGAGUUAGUCCUCCUAAAACUAAGAGAAACAUCUCUAAGCCGCAGAACAUCUGACCAAAUAUGAUCCGGCAACAAAGCCGAUCAACGAACCAAGUUACCCUAGGGAUAACAGCGCAAUCCUCUCCCAGAGUCCAUAUCGACGAGGGGGUUUACGACCUCGAUGUUGGAUCAGGACAUCCUAAUGGUGCAGCCGCUAUUAAGGGUUCGUUUGUUCAACGAUUAAAGUCCUACGUGAUCUGA